GUAGGGUGCAAGCGUUGUCCGGAAUUACUGGGCGUAAAGAGUUCGUAGGCGGUUUGUCGCGUCGUUUGUGAAAACUCACAGCUCAACUGUGAGCUUGCAGGCGAUACGGGCAGACUUGAGUACUGCAGGGGAGACUGGAAUUCCUGGUGUAGCGGUGAAAUGCGCAGAUAUCAGGAGGAACACCGGUGGCGAAGGCGGGUCUCUGGGCAGUAACUGACGCUGAGGAACGAAAGCGUGGGUAGCGAACAGGAUUAGAUACCCUGGUAGUCCACGCCGUAAACGGUGGGCGCUAGGUGUGGGUUCCUUCCACGGAAUCUGUGCCGUAGCUAACGCAUUAAGCGCCCCGCCUGGGGAGUACGGCCGCAAGGCUA
rnacentral:rRNA from 1 species